CGGAUUGUAGUCUGCAACCCGACUACAUGAAGCUGGAAUCGCUAGUAAUCGCGAAUCAGAAUGUCGCGGUGAAUACGUUCCCGGGUCUUGUACACACCGCCCGUCACACCAUGGGAGUCGGAAAUGCCCGAAGUCAGUGACCGAACCGAAAGGAAGGAGCAGCCGAAGGCAGGUCGGAUGACUGGGGUGAAGUCGUAACAAGGUAUC
rnacentral:rRNA from 1 species